UUGUUCGGAGUUUGCUCUCCUAGGUGAAUUGCCUACCACGGCUAACGACCUCCACCUGUCCGGGUUUGUUGUUCGGAGUUUGCUCUCCUAGGUGAAUUGCCUACCACGGCUAACGACCUCCACCUGCCCGGGUUUGUUGUUCGGAGUUUGCUCUCCUAGGUGAAUUGCCUACCACGGCUAACGACCUCCACCUGCCCGGGUUUGUUGUUCGGAGUUUGCUCUCCUAGGCGAACUGCCUACCACGGCUAACGACCUCCACCUGCCCGGGUUUGUUGUUCGGAGUUUGCUCUCCUAGGCGAACUGCCUACCACGGCUAACGACCUCCACCUGCCCGGGUUUGUUGUUCGGAGUUUGCUCUCCUAGGUGAACUGCCUACCAGGGCUAACGACCUCCACCUGCCCGGGUUUGUUGUUCGGAGUUUGCUCUCCUAGGUGAACUGCCUACCACGGCUAACGACCUCCACCUGACCGGGUUUGUUGUUCGGAGUUUGCUCUCCUAGGUGAACUGCCUACCACGGCUAACGACCUCCACCUGCCCGGGUUUGUUGUUCGGAGUUUGCUCUCCUAGGCGAACUGCCUACCAGGGCUAACGACCUCCACCUGCCCGGGUUUGUUGUUCGGAGUUUGCUCUCCUAGGUGAACUGCCUACCACGGCUAACGACCUCCACCUGCCCGGGUUUGUUGUUCGGAGUUUGCUCUCCUAGGUGAAUUGCCUACCACGGCUAACGACCUCCACCUGCCCGGGUUUGUUGUUCGGAGUUUGCUCUCCUAGGUGAAUUGCCUACCACGGCUAACGACCUCCACCUGCCCGGGUUUGUUGUUCGGAGUUUGCUCUCCUAGGUGAAUUGCCUACCACGGCUAACGACCUCCACCUGCCCGGGUUUGUUGUUCGGAGUUUGCUCUCCUAGGUGAAUUGCCUACCACGGCUAACGACCUCCACCUGCCCGGGUUUGUUGUUCGGAGUUUGCUCUCCUAGGUGAAUUGCCUACCACGGCUAACGACCUCCACCUGACCGGGUUUGUUGUUCGGAGUUUGCUCUCCUAGGUGAAUUGCCUACCACGGCCUACGAGCCCCACCUGCCCGGGUUUGUUUAGAGUUUGCUCUCCUAGGCAGAUUGCCUACCACGACUAACGAGCCCCACCUGCCCGGGUU